AACCAUAGAAACCUGCGGAGUACCUGCGGAAGGAUCAUUACAGAGUUCAUGCCCUCACGGGUAGAUCUUCCACCCUUGAAUACUAUACCUUUGUUGCUUUGGCGGGCCGCUUUGGCUACUGGCUCUGGCUAGUAAGUGCCCGCCAAAGAACCCCAAAACUCUGAAUAUUAGUGUCGUCUGAGUACUAUAUAAUAGUUAAAACUUUCAGCAACGGAUCU
rnacentral:misc_RNA from 1 species